rfam:Oryza barthii chromosome 2, whole genome shotgun sequence.
AAAAAAGCAAACCACGGAUUUUCGUGCUAACGUUUGACUGUCCGUCUUAUAUGAAAAUUUUUUAUAAUUAGUAUUUUCAUUAUUGUUAGAUGAUAAAACAUGAUUAAUACUUUAUGCGUGACUUAUCUUUUUAAUUUUUUUUCAUAAUUUUUUUAAAUAAGAUAGACGGUCAAAUGUUGGACACGGAAAGCAGGGUUUGUCUUUUU